UGGGGAAUUUUGGACAAUGGGGGCAACCCUGAUCCAGCAAUGCCGCGUGUGUGAAGAAGGCCUGCGGGUUGUAAAGCACUUUAGGUGUGGAGAAAGGCCAUUCGGUUAAUAACCGAGUGGAUUGAUGUUACACACAGAAUAAGCACCGGCUAACUCUGUGCCAGCAGCCGCGGUAAUACAGAGGGUGCAAGCGUUAAUCGGAAUUACUGGGCGUAAAGCGCAUGUAGGUGGAAAGAUAAGUUUGAUGUGAAAGCCCCAGGCUUAACCUGGGAAUGGCGUUGAAGACUGUUUUUCUAGAGUUUGACAGAGGGUCGUGGAAUUUCCGGUGUAGCGGUGAAAUGCGUAGAGAUCGGAAAGAACACCAGUGGCGAAGGCGGCGACCUGGGUCUAAACUGACACUGAGGUGCGAAAGCGUGGGGAGCAAACAGG
rnacentral:rRNA from 1 species